rnacentral:rRNA from 1 species
GACGAACGCUGGCGGCGUGCCUAAUACAUGCAAGUAGGACGCAGUUGCGAACGGGUGAGUAACGCGUAGGUAACUACCUAUUAGAGGGGGAUAACUAUUGGAAACGAUAGCUAAUACCGCAUACUAGUAGAUGGACCUGCGUUGUAUUAGCUAGUAGGUAGGGUAAUGGCCUACCUAGGCAACGAUACAUAGCCGACCUGAGAGGGUGAGCGGACAAAAUGUGAAUGAGACAAGGCCCAGACUUCUACGGGGGGCAACAGUAGGGAAUCUUCGGCAAUGGGGGGAACCCUGACCGAGCAAAGCCGCGUUAUUUGAGAAGGUGUUUGGAUCGUAAAGCUCUGUUGUUAAGGAAGCGGUACUUAACCAGAAAGGGACGGCUAACUACGUGCCAGCAGCCGCGGUAAUAC